UACAGAGGUGGCAAGCGUUGUUCGGAAUUACUGGGCGUAAAGGGCGCGUAGGCGGCCUUCUCAGUCGGACGUGAAAUCCCCAGGCUUAACUUGGGAACUGCGUCCGAUACUGGAUGGCUCGAGUGCGGGAGAGGGAUGUGGAAUUCCAGGUGUAGCGGUGAAAUGCGUAGAUAUCUGGAGGAACACCGGUGGCGAAGGCGGCAUCCUGGACCGACACUGACGCUGAUGCGCGAAAGCCAGGGGAGCAAAC
rnacentral:rRNA from 1 species